rnacentral:rRNA from 1 species
GACGGAGGGUGCAAGCGUUGUUCGGAAUUACUGGGCGUAAAGGGCGCGUAGGCGGCCUGUUAAGUCCGGUGUGAAAGCCCCUGGCUCAACUGGGGAAGUGCGCCGGAUACUGGCAGGCUAGAGUACCGGAGAGGAGGGUGGAAUUCCUGGUGUAGCGGUGAAAUGCGUAGAUAUCAGGAGGAACACCGGUGGCGAAGGCGGCCCUCUGGACGAGUACUGACGCUGAUGCGCGACAGCGUGGGGAUCAAACAGG